CGGUAAUACCGACUAAUUGGCGCUAAUUAUAUAACGAACAACUAUUUGGCAAUUACAGCACAAUAGAAGCCAUUUAACCUGCAUUCACACAGGGUGAAAUGGGCUUGGCGGGUUUCGGCGGUACGGCUGUCACAACGGUCGCUUGAUCCCGGUGGGAUGUCGUUGUAGAGGAGCGGUGCUGGCUUUUAUGAAGGCACAAGACUUUCAUUGAAGGAGGGAUCCAGAUCUGUAUCUUUUGAGUUCAGCAGGGCGGCACAUCAGCUGAACGCUUGUGUUUAGAUGACCAGGGCCAGUGGGCCCCUCUCCGGGGAACAUCACACCAGCUUUGAGAAGAUGAUCGUGUUAAACACUUAUUGUGCUCAAGUGAUUGGCUUAACAACUUCCCUGCCCAGAACUGAGUGGCCAUGAGUGAAGAUGGCAGAUUUCAAAUGGCAUACAUCCUUCCCGCUGCCAGCUGAGCGCCUGCCAGACAGCUAAACGGAUGCGACCUCCAGUACAGCUUGACGUUUCUUUUGUCGAGAAGAAAUAUGAUUGAAAGAUGCUCAACGAGCUGAUAGAACUACGAGAUCAGUGUUUCCAGAUGGGUGAAAAUGGACAGGGCACCUUGGCGGUUAACAGACUAAAUUGGAAGGACUGUAAGAGGGACUUGCCUGGAAUUCAGAAAGCGGCGCGGAUCAGACGAGACCUUCAGAUGGAGCCCAUUGUUGGCAGGGAGGCCAAUGCAGAUUGUUAGUGGAGGCCGAACCUCCAGCCCAGCUUCCCUGGAUAACUCCCUCUCUCUCCUAAUCUAUGCUAAUGAAGCAGAAAUCAAAGCCCGAAAUGUCCAAGUAGCAUGCUUUCUACCUCAGUCAUGUUCAAAGCCGUAUUAAAGAUGACAGAAACAAGUCUAGAGCAUUCUUUCACUGCGUUAUGUAGCCCACAGGGGCUUUGUGUUUAACUUCUCAAACAACCAUGUUCAGCUUGUGUCAUGAAUGAUGCAGGCUCUCGCAUGACGUCUGUGUGGGCUGAUGGUUUUAAUGCAGUUUCUUGACAUGCUUUUUUUGCACGUUCGUUUACAGUCAGUUUUGGGGAAUGUAAUGGGUUACAGCAUUGCAUUACUCGUUAUAAAAUGCAACUAGUUGUGCUACAUUCUCUCACUGUUCAUCUGACUGAGGUGUUAUGCUUAGCUCGCAGAUGUUUUUCACAUUAGAAAUGCUUUUUUUUUCUUUUUGUGCUGUGCACGUUUUACCCCCCAGACAUGUUUGCUUGUAAUAGUAUAUAGGCUGUACCAUGAAAUUGCAUUGUCAAGGUUUUUUCAUUACUUUUUCAUUUUAUUUCAUUACCUUUUUUUUCUAUCAUAUUGAAUUUUUUAUCAGUA